GGGGAUUUAGCUCAGUGGUAGAGCACUUGCCUACCAAGCACAAGGCCCUGGGUUCGGUCCCCAGCUCA
rnacentral:tRNA from 1 species